rnacentral:rRNA from 1 species
AUAAGCGAGACCCUUCCUUGCGCAAGCAGGGUGGGGUGACACAAACCAGGGGGUGGCGACUGUUUAGUAAAAACACAGGGCUCUGCGAAAUCGAGAGAUGACGUAUAGGGUCUGACGCCUGCCCGGUGCCGGAAGGUUAAGGGGAGAUGUGCAAGCAUCGAACCGAAGCCCCGGUAAACGGCGGCCGUAACAAUAACGGUACUAAGGUAGCGAAAUUC